rnacentral:rRNA from 1 species
CCUACGGGGGGCAGCAGUAGGGAAUCUUGGACAAUGGGCGCAAGCCUGAUCCAGCCAUGCCGCGUGAGUGAUGAAGGCCUUAGGGUUGUAAAACUCUUUCGCAGGUGACGCGGUAACCUGAGAAGAAGCUCCGGCUAACUUCGUGCCAGCAGCCGCGGUAAUACGAAGGGGGCUAGCGUUGUUCGGAUUUACUGGGCGUAAAGCGCGUGUAGGCGGAUCGAUAAGUUGGGGGUGAAAGCCCAGAGCUCAACUCUGGAACUGCCUUCAAGACUGUCGGUCUGGACUCAAGGAGAGGCAAGUGGAAUGUCUAGUGUAGAGGUGAAAUUCGUAGAUAUUAGACGGAACACCAGUGGCGAAGGCGACUUGCUGGACUUGAGUGACGCUGAGACGCGAAAGCGUGGGGAGCAAACAGGAUUAGAUACCCUUGUAGUC